UCGAAACCUCAUCCAAAAGGAAUGACCUGUGAACGAGUGAUCACACAUGCGGUGGGGUCGUGGGUUGGCUAACUUAUGUUGAACAACUCAUGACUCUACCGGAAAUCACCAAACCCCGGCGUUAAAAGCGCCAAGGAACAUUAAACAAAAUAGCUCCCUCCGAAUGCCCCGAUAAGGUGUGUUCGGAGUUGGUGCUGUAAUUAUAAGUCUAUAACGACUCUCGGCAACGGAUAUCUCGGCUCUCGCAUCGAUGAAGAACGUAGCGAAAUGCGAUACUUGGUGUGAAUUGCAGAAUCCCCCGUGAACCAUCGAGUCUUUGAACGCAAGUUGCGCCCCAAGCCGUCAGGCCGAGGGCACGCCUGCCUGGGUGUCACGCAUCGUUGUCCCCUCCCACCCGUUGCAAACCACCGGGUGUUCAUGGAGACGGAAAUUGGUCUCCCGUGUGGUAACCGCACGCGGUUGGCCAAAAACUUAGUCACGGGCGCGGAUCGUCCCGACGAGCGGUGGUGUAUAAUGCCUCGUGGAAACGUCAGUCGAUCCCGUCCGAACGACUUGAUGACCCUUUUAGAGCCGUUGAAGCGACUCUCCGAACGCGACCCCAGGUCAGGCGGGA
rnacentral:rRNA from 1 species